UCCAGAUAAAGGCAAACCUCUCGAAAGAUUGGGACGCAAAGCCUCAGGUCUAAGGUUUUUAACUAUGAUAGCUGGGCUACCUAG
rnacentral:ncRNA from 1 species